rnacentral:rRNA from 1 species
UACGGGGGGGGCAAGCGUUGUUCGGAGUUACUGGGCGUAAAGGGUGUGUAGGCGGUUCUUUAAGUUUGGUGUGAAAUCUCCCGGCUCAACCGGGAGGGUGCGCCGAAUACUGAGGGACUCGAGUGCGGGAGAGGAAAGUGGAAUUCCUGGUGUAGCGGUGAAAUGCGUAGAUAUCAGGAGGAACACCGGUGGUGUAGACGGCUUUCUGGACCGUAACUGACGCUGAGACACGAAAGCGUGGGUAGCAAACAGG